GAAACCAACAGGGAUUGCCCUAGUAACGGCGAGUGAAGCGGCAACAGCUCAAAUUUGAAAUCUGGCGUAAGCCCGAGUUGUAAUUUGUAGAGGAUGCUUCUGGGUAGCGGCCGGUCUAAGUUCCUUGGAACAGGACGUCAUAGAGGGUGAGAAUCCCGUAUGUGACUGGCUUGCACCCUCCACGUAGCUCCUUCGACGAGUCGAGUUGUUUGGGAAUGCAGCUCUAAAUGGGAGGUAAAUUUCUUCUAAAGCUAAAUACCGGCCAGAGACCGAUAGCGCACAAGUAGAGUGAUCGAAAGAUGAAAAGCACUUUGGAAAGAGAGUUAAAAAGCACGUGAAAUUGUUGAAAGGGAAGCGCCCGCAACCAGACUUUGCGGCGGUGUUCGGCUGGUCUUCUGACCGGUUUACUCGCCGCCGUGAGGCCAUCAUCGUCUGGGACCGCUGGAUAAGACCUGAGGAAUGUAGCUCCCUUCGGGGUGUGUUAUAGCCUCUGGUGAUGCAGCGCGUCUCGGGCGAGGUCCGCGCUUCGGCAAGGAUGAUGGCGUAAUGGUUGUCGGCGGCCCGUCUUGAAACACGGACCAAGGAGUCUAACAUCUAUGCGAGUGUUCGGGUGUCAAACCCCUACGCGUAAUGAAAGUGAACGGAGGUGGGAACUUUUUGUGCACCAUCGACCGAUCCUGAUGUCCUCGGAUGGAUUUGAGUAAGAGCAUAGCUGUUGGGACCCGAAAGAUGGUGAACUAUGCCUGAAUAGGGUGAAGCCAGAGGAAACUCUGGUGGAGGCUCGCAGCGGUUCUGACGUGCAAAUCGAUCGUCAAAUUUGGGUAUAGGGGCGAAAGACUAAUCGAACCAUCUA
rnacentral:rRNA from 1 species